rnacentral:rRNA from 1 species
UACGUAGGUGGCAAGCGUUGUCCGGAUUUAUUGGGUUUAAAGGGUGCGUAGGCGGUCUUUUAAGUCAGUGCUGAAAUACUCCAGCUUAACUGGAGGGGUGGCAUUGAUACUGGAAGACUUGAGUGUAGUCGAGGUAGGCGGAAUUGACAGUGUAGCGGUGAAAUGCUUAGAUAUCGUCAAGAACACCGAUAGUGAAGACAGCUUACUAGGCUACAACUGACGCUGAGGCACGAAAGUGUGGGGAUCAAACAGG